rfam:Gossypium raimondii chromosome 8, whole genome shotgun sequence.
CAUGUCAGCGCGCUUUGCUGACGUGGACACAUCGCUCUCCAGAGGACGCGAUUUGUUGCCAUGUCAACAAAGCGCGCUGAUGUGG